rnacentral:ncRNA from 1 species
GAAACCUCAUCUUGCUCAAGCGCCAUCCGGGCGCCAGGGCAGUGUUUCCUAAGGGAAAGCACAGACACUCCGUCUAGGUAAGGAGAAAGA